GUUCAGCCGACGAGUUCCAAAUAGGACGAAACGUGCAUCCUGGAU
rfam:Schistosoma curassoni strain Dakar, Senegal genome assembly, scaffold: SCTD_scaffold0000487